rnacentral:snoRNA from 1 species
CUGCCAAAAGUUGGUUUUGAGGGGAAGAUUUUUAGCAGUCUUUGUCAGCUCAAGCUAUGUGGGGAAAUAAAGCCCACACUCCACAGUGAGCUGUAUGAUUUCUAUGCAGUUCUACUGUUUGGUGGCCUGGAAG